UACGUAGGGGCGAGCGUUAUCCGGAAUUAUUGGGCGUAAAGGGUUCGCAGGCGGCCUUGUAAGUCAGAUGUGAAAGACAGCGGCUUAACCGUUGUAAGCAUUUGAAACUGCAGGGCUUGAGUACAGGAGAGGAAAGCGGAAUUCCUAGUGUAGCGGUGAAAUGCGUAGAUAUUAGGAGGAACACCAGUGGCGAAGGCGGCUUUCUGGACUGAUACUGACGCUGAGGAACGAAAGCGUGGGGAGCAAACAGGAUUAGAUACCCUGGUAGUCCCUGA
rnacentral:rRNA from 1 species